GGAAGACGGCCCUAUGGGUUGUAAACUGCUUUUAUACAGGAAGAAACAGUCCCUCGUGAGGGGCCUUGACGGUACUGUAAGAAUAAGCACCGGCUAACUCCGUGCCAGCAGCCGCGGUAAUACGANCGA
rnacentral:rRNA from 1 species